GACGAACGCUGGCGGCGUGCCUAACACAUGCAAGUCGAGCGAAUGAAGUUCCUUCGGGGACGGAUUUAGCGGCGGACGGGUGAGUAACGCGUGGGCAACCUGCCUCAUAGAGGGGAAUAGCCUUCCGAAAGGGAGAUUAAUACCGCAUAAGAUCGUAGCUCCGCAUGAAGUAGCAAUUAACGGAGCAAUCCGCUAUGAGAUGGGCCCGCGGCGCAUUAGCUAGUUGGUGAGGUAACGGCUCACCAAGGCGACGAUGCGUAGCCGACCUGAGAGGGUGAUCGGCCACAUUGGGACUGAGACACGGCCCAGACUCCUACGGGAGGCAGCAGUGGGGAAUAUUGCACAAUGGGGGAAACCCUGAUGCAGCAACGCCGCGUGAGUGAUGACGGCCUUCGGGUUGUAAAGCUCUGUCUUCAGGGACGAUAAUGACGGUACCUGAGGAGGAAGCCACGGCUAACUACGUGCCAGCCGCCGCCGUAA
rnacentral:rRNA from 1 species